CCUGUCAAGAAUUAAAUGUCAUGAUUUAUCUCCAUUUAAAUAAAAGUCAAUAUCCAGCUAAACAAUUAAAUAUAUAGUUGAGUUUUAAAGAAGUCUGUGUUUAAAGUCACAAAAUGCCCAAUAUAUAGCUAUCUUUUCUUUAAUAUAUAGAGACACAUCAUGAGAAAAUGGAGUACUAAAUUUUACCUAGUGCAUAUUUUCCUGCCAAUCAUAAAACUCUGAAAAAUAAGAACAUUUCACAGAAGUGGUAUCAGGCGAGAAAAAAAUAUUUCCAUUGAUUUAAUACUUUUGUGCAAUGCCUACCUAGAUUUUUGAAUUAUAAAUCACUUUGACGUUAAAUAUUUCUUUUUCUACCUAAAAGGGUCAUAAUAUUAGGAAUGUUCCACUGCACAAUAUUUGCCAUUAAUAUUUUCUUAUCUACUCUGCUUCUAAUAGUUAUUUAACUUCUUGUACCUUGCCUAGAGAACUUUUAGGGCCAGGCUUUCAAAUCUGUCUAAACUGCACCAACAAAAUUUGCAAGCCUGUAUAUGCCAUUUCCAUCAGUUACAAGUUCUCAUUCAUGGACUUUUACCUUUGCAUUUGCUCACAUGAGUUUUAUGGACAUACUUUAGGCAGCCAAUUUUAAAAAUUAAUUCCUGUCAUUACAGAAAGUGAUUAGGCCUCUUGUUUAAAUACUUAUCUUCUGCACACAAAACCUCAUUAUUUAAGCUGGGCUUUAGUGUUGUGUUAUGUUUAUUAGUUUAAUAAAAACUAAGUCUUACCUCGUGCUUUUUUGCAAGGGGAUCUGAAAAAGAACACAGGAAAAAUAAAUAUUACUUUAAAAAAAAUACUACAUUGAUUUAAUCAUACCAAAAACUAUCCAAGUGAGAUAAUUCAGAAGAGGCUGAAAAAUCCAUUUUGGUUAUUCGGCAUUAACUCUCAUUCUUUUCCCAAAAUUACACUAAGGAAUUAAAGACAACUGUCUACACCAGUGAUACUCAGACCUCAGUGGUUCAGAAGCCAAAUUAGCAAUAAAUAUUACUCAAAAGACCAACAGUAGUGUGAAUUCAUUGUUUCAUUUACUAUAGUACUAUAUUUUAUAUAUAUAUUAUUCUCACAGCAAAUAAGUGAAAUCAGUGCAAGUUGAUAACUUAGUUAAUAAAAGUAUCCUGAUUGGUUAAUAAUUAGAUCACACGGUGUUUUAAUAUCAUGUGCCGCAAACAGUUGCAAGCUGCAAGUGGAUCUUCAGCGUGUCUCCUGCAAGCCUCAGGGCUUCACUACCAGGGAGAUCAAUGCUGUUGCAAUCAAUGCAGUGCAUAUCAAAUUAGCAACUUAGGUACUCCAGCUCUCCAAGAAGAGUAAGGUAAGUUGACUGGAGAGGGUCUCCCAUUGACACAGCGCAGCGAAGACACCAGGGAAAGUCGACCUAAGCUAUGUCGACUCCAGCGACAUGAAUAAUGUAGCUGGAGUAGCGUAACUUAGGUCGACUUACGCCGGUAGUGAAGACAAGCCUCAGUCUGAGUAUCAUUGGUCUAUGUUGCAUUUUAAACCCUAUCCCUUAAAAUAAUGUAACAGAAAACAGACCCCAAUUUGUUAAAUGCAGUGAGAAUUCAUAACUGGCAAGCAACAUUUUUGCAAACAAACAAACUGCAGACGGUAUUUAAUUCUAUUCUGGUUCUUAUAUUGCCCUUAUCACCAUAGAAUCUCAGUUCCUUCCAGCAGCAUAUUAGGUGGCAUGACCAACAUCUAUAAUUUGUUCAGACUGUCAUCCUUUGCGGGUGUUUUACUGUUUUUGUUUCUUGGUUUGUUUUUAAAAUCAACACACAUUUAAUAAAAUACUGGUAACUUAGAUAAGUGCUUAGAAUAUUUUUUUUAAAAUAGACUUUUGAUUCAAUAGUAUUUUUUCCUCUUUCCAGAUCCUACCAUCGUUUCCUGCUAAAGGCAGGACCACUGCUCUGAAGACAACAGGAACAAACCAGCACCCAAAGAAUUUACAAAGAGUGUACAAGGUGCUGUGAAAUUCAGCACUUUCUCUCCUGGAACACUAUGUAGAUGACUGGAGAACUAGCAAGACAACACCACAAGCACCAAAGAAGGUAAACCUAACCAGCUGAGAAGGAAUUUUUAGUCAGCCUGUUCAAAACAGUUAUCUAUUUAAGUCAAAUAACUGAAACAAUUGGGAGAAAAGAUGUUAAAGAUUCAACAUGCCUACCACUUCAAUUCAGACCUAAAAAAGCUCCCCCUCUCCUUCAGUUCUAUGAUCCUCUAAGAAGACCUCUCCAGAAUCCCCACCAAGAUCAACAAAACAAAACACAAAACACACACACACACACACACACACACACACGGAACAAGGUUUAGCAGUCUUAUUAUUUUUAAGGUGAAAACAAAUGUCUUUAUAUAUCAAAGAAGCAAAGAGGGUACAAACUCAUUUUCCCCCUUGGCAGGUCAUCUUUAACAUUCUCAAACUGUAAUAUGGCUGUUUGUGGUUUCCCUCAACUCUCUAAUGGUUCUCUCAAUUCUUAGUAAAUCUUUGGGUAUUAAAAAACUAAAGAGUUAGCUUACACAAAAUUUUGUGGUAACCAAAUUAUCAGUCUCCUUUAUCCAGAACUCAAUAAAGGUCAAAAACUUGCACAAUUUUCAGAUCACGAUGAAACCAGCAAAUACCUUUUUGUGCUCUUCAUAUUCCAGUUUGCUUAGCAGUAAUGCCUUUUCAAGAUCUGCUUCAAACAUUUCAGAUGUCAGCUGAAGAAAUAAGAUUAAAGCAAAAACUCAUGACAGGUUUUUGUUUUUAUUAAUAAAAAGCAAAAAGGUGUGCAAUUGACAGCUAGUUAAAAUUUAAUUUUAGCCUAUGGAAUGUUACAGCUGCUGUCAACAUACUCUUGGUAAUAUGAUGAAAUGCACCAGUAAGAACAACUAAAUACAUUUGUACAACAGUUGGUAGAAUACCUUAUUGGUUGAAACACAUUUUGUUAAAUAAAAGAGUCUGACGGAAACCAUGCACUACUAAAUCACUACAGAGAAAGUGAAGGUCUUUUUUUUUUUAAAUUGCUUUUGUUCAAAAUGCUUGCUUGCAACUUAGAUCUUGAAGUUUUGCAUGCAGAAGCUUGUUGAUUUUAAAGCCUAAAAUAUCAACAAGUAGAACGGAGAAAGAAGAGUCUCUCAAAAGCAUAGGAAAGAACAGGCCAGCUUUGCUGCCAUUAACAAAAAGUAACUUCUGCUGAAUGGCAGGGAUGGCGAGAGACUCCAGGACACCAUCUGUGAAAGAAAAAAAAGUUUGUCUGGGAUGCCAUAGGAGGAGGAUGUGCAGUGCAAGAGUUGUUUCAGAGAAGCAUAAGGGAUCAAGAGCGGUCUUAGAUUAAGAAGAGAUGGAGGGAAGCUUUAGUCUUGAUGGAGUUUCUUGGGACAUGGGAUAAAAGGAAAAUUGAAAUUUUAAAUGUGGGGACUGAAAAGGAAAGAAAGAACUAAGCAUUGCUUAGCAGAGGUAGAGGGGUAACAUCUGAUUUUACAGGGUGGUGGCAUGGCAGAGGGGUAGCUGAGUUUUGUUUAGAGCACUAUAUUAAUUUCCAUGGGAAAAGGUAAGCC